ACCUACUGCCUUCUGCUUAGAA
rnacentral:miRNA from 14 species